UGAAAACAGACCUGUUGGUAAUCCAGAGGGUUUGGCCCAGGACCUGACUUCUGAAGCCCCCAAACUUCAGCUUACGCAGCAGACUGCCAUGGACUACUGAAACCAUACUUUGCCUGCCUGUGCAUGCUGCUGGUAACCAGUUCCUGCUAAGUCUGUCCACUACAUUUCUCAGUGUUUCUUCAAAUCUUGAACCGUGUUUGCCACAGCACAUGCAGCUCCAUGUGCUGAAUGUCAGAGCAAGAGGGUGCCGGGUGCUGAUGGAUCUGUCGCUCUGGGAGCGGACUGUCAGCUCUGGGCUGCAUCCCGCAGCCGUUAUUCCAGCACAGAGCCGACAUUGCAGCCUGCUUUGCUUCAGUACCUGAGCUACCUUACUGAGGACAGGCCUGAUUGCUGCUGCAGUGGAACACACAGAGAAGAAAGAGGAUCUUUGCUACUGUGAUGGAGUGAGAAGAAAUGACUGCGGUGAAGAUGACGCAUUUGCUUGAUGCAUUUGCCAUUAGGAUCAGUGGAAAGGAUUUGACUUCUGCACUUAUGGAUACCCCUCUUUGGCAACGAGUGGCAAAAUCAAAUCUGUAGGUUUAAAAAUCUGUUCUACAAUUAAAUUUUCAGAAGGACCUACCGAUUUUGACGAGGAUUUUGUUUUUUAGAAGCUGAUGGCAAUAUGUAUUAGUAGGCACACAUUAUUCAAAGCUUAGCUUUGUUGAAUGACAGUUCAUUUCACAGUUUACUGAAAUUUCAUGUACAUCUGUUAAGCGCCAAGGAGGCAAAAGUGGAAGAGGAGGACAGCACUUGCAGAGCUGCAGAGCACAGAGUAAACUGUAAGCUUACCAUGAACACAGGGAGAAAAAUAUUUACAAAAAGAGAAUAUACUUCAGUAGCACUGUGUUAUCGAUAGACGUUGUUGAACCCUACCACCCAAACCAACCUGUGCAGACAAUGUCCUUUCCCCCAGACGUCCCUGCUGGGGCUCUGGGACGUGCAGGCACUGCUGCCCGGGCAGCUGAGCCCAGCCCAGCCAGCCCUGUCACUUCAGAAUUUCUUGGGGCUUCCUCUGGCUCCCAUUGCAAUCAAUAAGAGUCAAGGUCUGGCAGCGCGGUGACUGCAGCCCACUGGAUUUGGGUGAACUGCCCAAAGGAAAAGCAUGCUGAAGCAUUCCUCAUAUUGAUUCAUCCUCCUGGAACGUGCUUUCCAUAUCAACGCUUUCACGUGGCAGCGGCAUGUGCCGGGUUCUGAAAAUAUGAAGGAAGAUGACCUGAGGCAUGUUUGCAUCCUCCUGCUUGGCGAGGGUGCGGCAGGCUCCGAGCUCAGCUCUCCCGGUCCGCUGUUUUCUCUGUUUGCUAUGGGGCUGGACAUCUCCUCCUGACCUUGGUCCUUUCAGGACUGACAUUUUAUCCGGGUCUUGCUCUUGGGUCCGUGAGAGCAGAUCACAAUGCAGAUUGGUUUUGUCACCCGGCUUAUCCUCUCCAGCUUAUCUUAAUCUUUAAAAUGAACUUUUGAAGUGAAGUAAGAUAAGUCUUGGCUGACUCCCAUCAGUUUUCAGUAAAAUGCCCCAAGACUGCCUGCGCCCCUGGCAGUGGGUGCUGAGGCAGUGGGUGCUGGCACCCUGUGCUGUGCCCGGGUGGCUGGGGAAGGAUGUUGGUGCAAGGUAUCUCUCCUGGCCCUGGCAAGGGGGGAUUACAGCCCAGCCUCCUGAAGGGCAAUACUGGAACUUCCGAUAUUUUCCAAACUGGGAAACGGCACUGUAGAUGCCAUUUGAUGG